rnacentral:rRNA from 1 species
GAUCCUGGCUCAGGAUGAACGCUAGCUACAGGCUUAACACAUGCAAGUCGAGGGGCAGCAUGAUCAAAGCUUGCUUGAUGAUGGCGACCGGCGCACGGGUGAGUAACGCGUAUCCAACCUUCCCUAUAGUAGUGGAUAGCCCGGCGAAAGUCGGAUUAAUACACUAUAUUAUUCAACGAGGACAUCUGAAAUGAAUCAAAGGCUUGCCGCUAUAGGAUGGGGAUGCGUCUGAUUAGAUAGUAGGCGGGGUAACGGCCCACCUAGUCGACGAUCAGUAGGGGUUCUGAGAGGAAGGUCCCCCACAUUGGAACUGAGACACGGUCCAAACUCCUACGGGAGGCAGCAGUGAGGAAUAUUGGUCAAUGGACGGGAGUCUGAACCAGCCAAGUAGCCGUGCAGGAUGACGGCCCUAUGGGUUGUAAACUGCUUUUAUACGGGGAUAAAGUGAGCCACGUGUGGCUUUUUGUAGGUACCGUAUGAAUAAGGACCGGCUAAUUCCGUGCCAGCCGCCGC